rnacentral:misc_RNA from 1 species
GAUGAAGAACGCAGCGAAAUGCGAUAAGUGAUGUGAAUUGCAGAAUUCAGUGAAUCAUCGAAUCUUUGAACGCACAUUGCGCCCGGUAGUAUUCUGCCGGGCAUGCCUGUUCGAGCGUCAUUUCAACCAUCAAGCCCCAGCGCUUGUGUUGGGGGCCUGCGGCUGCCGCAGCCCCCUAAAAGCAGUGGCGGGCUCGCUAUCACACCGAGUGCAGUAGUUCAUCUUCUCUCCGGUCUUGUGAGGCGGGUUCCGGCCGUGAAACACCCCACUACAUUCAAGGUUGACCUCGGAUCAGGUAGGAAUACCCGCUGAACUUAAGCAUAUCAAUAAGCGGAGGA